CAGUGCUUCUGGGCUCCUGCAAGGAAUGUACGCAGCCUCAGAGGGCCGAAGCCACGUGCCAGUUAGGUUUCAUGGUCUUCAGCUGUCCUUUUGAGUAAUCUCCAAGUACUACAAGGCUCAGCAAUUAAGCCUGUUUUUUUUCCGGUUGCAGGUGCCAUCUGGCCUGCAUUUGGCAAAGGAGGAGUGUUUGUGCUGAGUCGGGGAGGUAGCGAGGGGGAGCUGGGGUCUCCUGUCCUUUCAGAAAUGCCAUGUAACUUUUUUCCUUGCUCACCUAGGUGCAGCACAUGGUGACAGCAGCAGCCUCUGAUUCAGAUUGGAGCCAGAGACCCAAGAACCUCAGAGUUUAGGGGAUGGUGAGUAGCACAACUGUGGGGUUAUUGCGCAUGUG